AUAAAAUCCCAGUAAAAAGUUAUGAGCCAACAAAGUUCCGUUUUUCUAGACAAUUUUAACGCAACUUUGAGUGUUAAAAAGUCCCAUAAAACAUGUAAAAUCUCCAAAACGAAGUCCGCUCCGACAUAGCUCAAUUACUAAAGAGUUCUAUAAAAUUUAUUUCAAAUUGAUUUAUACAGUAGUUUUUUCAGAAAACGCUUUUUUCUGAAGCACUCUUCGUCUUUUUUUACGUACUCGUUUUGCGAUGAAUUGUCGUGCAUUUCACUCAAUAGCAUUCCCCCCGGCAGAAGCGCGGGGCGGAGCGGAGAAAGACGCUUAUACACACAUGCUUAUUUCCACAAUUUUUACGUUUUGCACGAUAUUUUGUCGUGCAACUGUGCAAAUUUUAGUGCAACUAUUUGUUUGUAUUGUUUUGGGCUCAGUCUGCUGCUGCGGCCCACGUCUUUCGUAUCGUAUGUGUGUAGGUAGACUAUUCUCCUAGCGCUUGUCGUACGUAAACAUUACACUGACCCCCGGCUAAAACUCUGGAUUUCGAUACUACCUUCUUUAUCUGUUUGACUUGGCACUGAACUUUGGACUUAGUAUUUUCGUUUGUGAUUGGAAUUGUUGGUUUGAGUGGAAUAGUGGAUACUAUUUCAGUGAAGUGGUUUUCAUUGAGUGCAAAACACGUGUGGAAAACAAUAAGAAACAAGAAACAAUGGAUUCAAAAACUUGGCGAAUGGGGCAAAAAGGGCGUCUAGAACUAAGCGCCCGCAGGAAGAAGCUCAAAAGAUCAGCGAGAGGAUAUUUCAUGAAUAAAGAAAAUAUUCCUCCAGUGCAUGAUACGUUCCAACAAUCACUUCAAGAAGCAAUUUCGCCGCCUUUGUCGCAUUUGCCGCAAACACCGCGGUCGGCGUUUUUGAGAAUGUAAACAAACAGAAGAAAGCAACCUUAUUUCUAAAGGAAUAAAGUAUUAUUUUUAUA
rnacentral:lncRNA from 1 species